rnacentral:rRNA from 1 species
CCGGCACGGGUGGAGUAACACGUAUCCAACCUGCCGUCUACUCUUGGACAGCCUUCUGAAAGGAAGAUUAAUACAAGAUGGCAUCAUGAGUCCGCAUGUUCACAUGAUUAAAGGUAUUCCGGUAGACGAUGGGGAUGCGUUCCAUUAGAUAGUAGGCGGGGUAACGGCCCACCUAGUCUUCGACGGAUAGGGGUUCUGAGAGGAAGGUCCCCCACAUUGGAACUGAGACACGGUCCAA